rnacentral:pre_miRNA from 1 species
AGUGUAUGACGCCGUUGACCUUUUUACGACGUUUGACCAUUCGUCUUAUUCAAAAAAUUUAUGUAAUUAUCACUUAUUUUAUUAUGACUUAAUUCGUCAUCAAAUGUUCUUUAAACAUGACAUAAAUAUUUUCAUAUUUACACAAAAUUUUAAAUAAAACGAAUGGUCAAACGUUGGUCGAAAAAUCAACGGCGUCAUACAUU